CAGUAGCCACGGGAAUACGAAGGGGGCUAGCGUUGCUCGGAAUGACUGGGCGUAAAGGGCGCGUAGGCGGUUUUCCAAGUUAGAUGUGAAAUUCCUGGGCUCAACCUGGGGGCUGCAUUUGAUACUGGGAGGCUUGAGUAUGGAAGAGGGUCGUGGAAUUCCCAGUGUAGAGGUGAAAUUCGUAGAUAUUGGGAAGAACACCGGUGGCGAAGGCGGCGACCUGGUCCAUAACUGACGCUGAGGCGCGAAAGCGUGGGGAGCAAACAGGAUUAGAUACCCCUGUAGUCCCUGUCUCUUAUAC
rnacentral:rRNA from 1 species